GAGGGCAGAGCUCAGUGGUAGAGUGCGUGCUUAGCACGCAUGAGGUCCUGGGUUCAAUCCCCAGUACCUCCA
rnacentral:tRNA from 1 species